GUCCCUGUAACGUAAUGGAUGUCAUGUUGGAUUUCUAAUCCAAAUCUCGUGGGUUCGAAUCCCAUCUGGGAUU